rnacentral:rRNA from 1 species
GUGGGGAAUAUUCCGCAAUGGACGAAAGUCUGACGGAGCAACGCCGCGUGAGUGAUGAAGGUUUUCGGACUGUAAAGCUCUGUUGUUUAGGACGAAAGUGCCUGUUGCAAAUAGUUACAGGUAUUGACGGUACUGAACGAGGAAGCCACGGCUAACUACGUGCCAGCAGCCGCGGUAAUACGUAGGUGGCAAGCGUUGUCCGGAAUUAUUGGGCGUAAAGAGCAUGUAGGCGGGAAUCUAAGUCUGUUGUGAAGAUGCGGGGCUCAACCCCGUAUUGCGAGUGAAACUGGGUUUCUUGAGUGCAGGAGAGGAAAGGGGAAUUCCCAGUGUGGCUGUGAAAUGCGUAGAUAUUGGGAGGAACACCAGUGGCGAAGGCGCCUUUCUGGACGGUGUCUGACACUGAGGCGCGAAAGCCAGGGGAGCGAACGGGAUUAGAAACCCGUGUAGUCC